rnacentral:snoRNA from 1 species
AAGCAACAUCUGUACAGCAACUAGCUCUAUACACGUGAGAGAGCUGCUGGCGAUGUGGCGAGA